GUCUCAGCUUGGUUUGAGCAUCUCCCUGGUUGGUGUCCUGUGUUUUUGGCUGAUUUCUGUAUCCCUUUGUGUCACUGUAAUGGUGCUUGAGGAUACUGGAGGAGCUGCCCUGUGGUAUGGCACACCUGCAAAGUGAAAACUUGAUAAGGAUGCUGAUUUUUGUAGGAUGAUAAUGAACAGCUGGAGCACCAUGGAAGAGAGCACUGCUACACCCCUGAUGCAGCCCAGGAAACCAUUAACCUCCUUUGUGGCACGGGCACUUUGUUCGCUUGGGUUUAACUUGGUGUCUACCAGGAUCCUCAGGUUCUUCCAUGCAGAGCUGCUUUCCAGCUGGGUGCCCCCAGCAUGUGCUGGUGUUCAGCACUCAGUGGGAGAGCCUCACCACCUGUCUGUCCUCGUAGAUAAAGGGAGCACCUAUUUCAACCAAAUUAAAUGAGAUAGAUGUAUUUGCCAUCCUAGAAGGGAGUAACUAGGAAAGAUCAUGCCAGUGCCUCUAAUCAAAUGGUUAAGUUUUUCAAAUGAAUCCAUAUUAUCUGUGUGGUUUUUUUUAAUCGUACUUAUACUUUGGUUUGAAUGUGUGUUGAUUAGUUAGUUGUCAUCUUAGAGAAACAAGAAGUGCUUAUAUUUACCCAGAUAUAUUAUGCUACUCAUUAUUCAGCACUGAUUGGUUUGAUGGGAAAAUAUACAUUACUUCAGCAGAUAAUCUGCUUAGUCUUAUUCAUAGUGUCAAUUAUAUACUCAAAUAACUAUUGCAAUUUCAAUUCUUAUGGAGUUUAUUAACAGUUGUUUAUCUGUGCAGUGAUUACAUAGUUCAUAUUUCCUUCUCCCCCUCCCCUCCAAAUUAUGUCUGCUCUGAAAGUGCUAAACAUAUGGCUGUAGUCAUGCCCUGGGGGUAAAUGCAGCCUGUAGCCACAGCCCUUUCCACAAGGCAGCUCUCCUCAACAGUAGGAUGACAAAUCCUCAAGAAUUCCUUUAGGCUUUGCAGGGAUGGAUGGAUGUCACUGCUUCAGAAGAGAAUGCCCUUUUCUCAGUCACAGCAGGUCCACUGCUCCCUUCUUUGCCAUUUGUUGUUGGAGAUGCUAGGACAUGUAGGUGAGAUUGUCUUUGUGUCCAUUAAACUUCUUGUCCAGAUAAGGAACAGGAAUAAGCAUCUGUGUCUGAGAUAUGCAUUCAUGUUGGGAGCUGUUCAUUUUUAUGAGCUCCAAGCAUUAAUGAAGACCACAGAAGGUGCCCAACAUCUCACUAAGAUCGAUCCCAAAGAAAGACAAAGUUAAGCCUUUCAAUAUUUUUCUUUACCUUCCAGUUUCUGUAUUAUUAUCCCAUGUAUACAGUUGCCAACUAUUGUGAAAUUGAAGAUAACAUGCAGAUUUUCACCCAUUGCAGCUCUGUGAUCUUGAUUUGAUUCUCUCUUACUUCUUGAUAUGGCCCCAACUGUGUGAUCCCCGUCAUGCUGCCUGCUUUGGAUAGCUUUUCUUACUCACCUCAGCAUUUGCUCCUGUAGGUAGGAGCAAAAAAAAGGAAGGCCUCUGGAGCAGAGUGUAGAGGGGAAACAAUGACUCCUUUGGGUUUUGUCUAUCUUAGCAGCUUCUUAGAACAGUGAACAUCAUUCAUGUUCCAUCCUGUGCACUGGUUAUUUGACUGCAGGUAGGUUUUAAUGCACAUGGAUGUUAUUUUAAAAAUCUCUUACAUGAAAAGAAGACA